UUGAUAGAGUUUUUGUUUGAUACGUUUUUCUCUCCUCAUUCUCGAGCCUUCAUCAUGUUCAUGAGAAAAAGUGUCUUCAUCUUCCUUCUUCACAACUCCAUCUUCAGAAUGCUUUUGCAUUCUCAACUCUUUUUGUUUCUCUGUUGGACCUUUAUAUUCUUACUAUCCCUCCAUUAGUUCUUUCCUACCUAUAUAUGAAGGUUAGUCAUCAGCAUAGUUCUCUGCAUCCUAUGUAGAAAAGGAGAAAAGCUUAAGUUGGUGAGGCUGAUUUGGGAUGAAAGAGAUUCAUUAUGCAGGUGAUGAUAUUGAAUGGAAGUGCAUGUGUUGAAGGGUUCAUUGGUGGUUGGAGGGAUUGUGAUGAGAUAUAUCAUCUCAUGUUGACAGAAGAGAGAGAGCACAACCCGAGAAUGGUUAAAGGAGUGUUUGCCUUUGUUGGGAGUGUGCUCUCUCUUCCUCUGUCAUCAUCACAUUCACAUGCCUUUGCUUUCUAGCUAGCUAAACUGCAACAGUACAUGCACCACUCUCUGUUAUACCUUUCAAGAGCCCAGUUUGGACAAAUCUGAAGCAUAAACAUCGGUGUGCUCUGAAACCCCGGUGUGCCAAUUUUGGUGGGACGUGUACGAGUGGAAAGGGAGAACAAUGGAUACCCUUUUCGUCUUCCUUCUUCCAUGAAGAACACACUUUGUUGCUAUUAAUGGUAUGAGAAACUAAAUUUAAUAACUCCCUUUUUACUCCCUGUCUUAUGUACAAGUGUUUAAUAAUUUACUGUAAGUAAUCUGAAUGCUGUUUUAAUUUUUUAAGAGUAGAUAAUCCUGAUAAUGGUGGGUUAAUACUAAAGGGAAUUUCUCUGAAAUAGAGUCUGAUACCAUCUUAUUAACUUGUUUAAAUUUUACUCAAUCUUAUCUUGUAAGAUAGAUUUACACUCACUUCUAUAUUAUUAUAAUUUGACUAGGAUAAUUUUGUUUAAGCAGCAUGAUUUUAGUGUUCAUCAAACCAUUCCAUUGUUGAUAAGAAUGCAAAUAUUUGUUACAGUGAUAACACUCCACUGAUGGCUGCACUGGGAUUAGGUAGAAAAGGGAUAGAUCAGAAAAUGACCUCUUUUCUUUGUUUUGGUUGUGUUUUUUUGACAUUUCUAGUUCUGUAUAUAGCACCCUUUUGAUGAGCACGCUUAUCCACCACCAUAAUUGGAAGGGCAACCAGUUACAUACUCUGCAUCCACCCUAAAACCAGUGUAAACUGAUAUACAUAGGAAAGGUUGUUGCUUACGUGAUAUUAAAGAUUUUACCAUUAUCACUCUAUAAAGGUGAGUUUUGGUCCAUUUGGGAUGGAUUUCAUCCUCAAACGGAUCUACUCAUAAAGGUAACAAUAAAAUUCAGUAAUGGAAUCAAUUAACAUCAUUUUGUGCAAGUCAUCCAACAAGGAAAUCCAUUUCACUACACACCAUAUUUGUUGAUCUUUCUUGAAAAACUUGAGAUAAGUAGCCUCGCUUUAAUUUACAUUUUGGAAAUUGAUUUUAGAAGAUUUUAAUUCUCAAGUAUCUUUGAAAAAAAAUAUUAUUACUCAGAUAUAAUUAUUAAAUAUGACUUUUAAAGUAAUUAUCAGGAAUCUAAAUAAUAAUUUUAAAAAAUAUUUUUAUUUUUUAAAAACUAAAUCAAUAAAAAAAAAGUGUGAAAUAUGUCGCAUAGUACUAGUGGAACAUGACAGCUUUUACAUUUGGCUAUUCCAAGGCAUUGGCAUGCAAGGACUAUAAAUGAAUAAGAUAGAGAGAUCAACAUGUCAACCAAAAUGUUCCUCUCUUAGUAUAGUUGAUACAAUGAAACUUGUAAUUGAGAAUAACCAUUCAAAUAUGGGAACCUGGAUAUAUAAAGUAUAAACUGACAACAAUAUAUUCUAACAUAACUCUGCACCCACUCACUAAAUAGAUUUAUGUUAGAGAUAUUAUUGAAAAAACAGUGAAGGGUUUAGAAUAGACUCUUUAAUUGACUCCAUGAUCAAGAAAGUCCUUCCAAUUAGUUGUGUUUGCCUUAGUUAAUGAAUUAAAAACUAACACUCUUAAUUUAGCUGCAGAAUAUUAAUUGCUUGAUGCCUUAUUUCUCGAUAAUAAAUAGUACAUACUUUUAUUCUGUGAGAGCUUGAGCCUUCAACCAACCCUUUUUGAUAGUUUGUUCAACCAUGACUUUCUGAUGUGUGUGAUGUAUUACUACAAAUGUACCCCCAUUUAGGAUAAGCAUUUUUUUUAUUACAUGUUUUUGGUAUAAAUCGUGGUAAGAGAAAAUGACUUCAUUAUAGUCAAAGUAGAAGUAGUAAGUUAUGGUGACAACAGCAGAAAAAGUGAAACUCUGGACUAUGAUAUGCUUUCCAUAGUGAAGUCAUGGACACUAGACGAUUUCAAUUUUUUGUUUUGGCAUCAGAAGUCGUGUGUGUUGAGAAUACGAUUUGUAAGAUGAAGUUGUGACCAAUAGACGAUUUUGAAUUGUUAAUUUUCAUUUAAAAGUCAUGGUGUGAAGAACACGGUUUUGGCAUGGAAGCUGUUAUCUAUGGAUAUUGUUUUUUUCUUU